rnacentral:rRNA from 1 species
CACGUAGGGUGCGAGCGUUGUCCGGAAUUAUUGGGCGUAAAGAGCUCGUAGGCGGUCUGUCGCGUCGGUCGUGAAAACUUGGGGCUUAACCCUGAGCUUGCGGUCGAUACGGGCAUGACUGGAGUUCGGUAGGGGAGACUGGAAUUCCUGGUGUAGCGGUGAAAUGCGCAGAUAUCAGGAGGAACACCGGUGGCGAAGGCGGGUCUCUGGGCCAUAACUGACGCUGAGAAGCGAAAGCAUGGGGAGCGAGCAGG